CCUACGGGAGGCAUCAGUGAGGAAUAUUGGUCAAUGGGCGUAAGCCUGAACCAGCCAAGUCGCGUGAGGGAUGAAGGUUCUAUGGAUCGUAAACCUCUUUUAUAAGGGAAUAAAGUGUGGGACGUGUCCUGAUUUGUAUGUACCUUAUGAAUAAGGAUCGGCUAACUCCGUGCCAGCAGCCGCGGUAAUACGGAGGAUCCGAGCGUUAUCCGGUUUUAUUGUGUUUAAAGGGUGCGUAGGCGGCCUUAUAAGUCAGGGGUGAAAGUCUGUGGCUAAACCAUAGAAUUGCCGGUGAAACUGGGAGGUGUGAGUAUGUUUGAGGCAGGCGGAAUGCGUGGUGUAGCGGUGAA
rnacentral:rRNA from 1 species